rnacentral:rRNA from 1 species
AGACUNCCGGUGACAAACCGGAGGAAGGUGGGGAUGACGUCAAGUCCUCAUGGCCCUUAUGGGUAGGGCUUCACACGUCAUACAAUGGUGCAUACAGAGGGUUGCCAAGCCGCGAGGUGGAGCUAAUCCCAGAAAAUGCAUCGUAGUCCGGAUCGUAGUCUGCAACUCGACUACGUGAAGCUGGAAUCGCUAGUAAUCGCGGAU